AGCCAGUGGCAAAGCACGUUCAAUGCACCAGUUCCUAAAGUAUCACUGAAGUUGAGCAACGUUGCUCGUGGUUAGUAUCUGGAUAGGUGACCAUCUGGGCAAUCAAGUGCUGGUUGUUU
rnacentral:rRNA from 1 species